rnacentral:rRNA from 1 species
CCUCGACGUUGUAAGUGACCUGCACACCGCAAAUUGAGAAGCCCAGCUCGUCGGCGUCACCGAGUUCGAACUCGGCACGAAUAUGGAACAGUUCGCCAUCGAUACCGGCCAGAAGGUUCUCACCGGGCUCGAUCGUCUCGUCGGUCCAUUCAUGUGCGUUCUUGUGGAGCAGUUCAAUCUCUUCCACAGGCUCGGCGAACAUGCGAAGACCUUCUUCCGUCGAGUGCAGAGUCAGCUCGACGGGGAAACCCAUCAUUUGGUUGAACGGCAUACCCGGCAAAUCUACCUGGCCCCAUGCCAUCUGAAUGCGCCGGCCGUCCUCUUCGGGAAUGUCGCUGAAGGUC